ACAGUCACUGACAUUAGAUACCCGCGUAGUCCCAGCCGUAAACUAUGCGCGUUAGGUGUAUCGGUGACCACGAGUUACCGAGGUGCCGAAGGGAAACCGUGAAACGUGCCGCCUGGGAAGUACGGUCGCAAGGCUGAAACUUAAAGGAAUUGGCGGGGGAGCACCGCAACGGGAGGAGCGUGCGGUUUAAUUGGAUUCAACACCGUAAAACUCACCAGGGAAGACUGUUACAUGAAGGCCGAGAUGAAGACUCUGCUAGAUUUUCAG
rnacentral:rRNA from 1 species